rnacentral:rRNA from 1 species
CCUACGGGACGCAGCAGGGAAUAUUGCGCAAUGGAGGAAACUCUGACGCAGUGACGCCGCGCCUAGGAAGAAGGUCUUCGGAUUGUAAACUAUUGUCGUUAGGGAAGAGAAAGGACAGUACCUAAGGAGGAAGCUCCGGCUAACUACGUGCCAGCAGCCGCGGUAAUACGUAGGGAGCGAGCGUUAUCCGGAUUUAUUGGGUGUAAAGGGUGCGUAGACGGGAAAAUAAGUUAGUUGUGAAAUCCCUCGGCUCAACUGAGGAACUGCAACUAAAACUAUUUUUCUUGAGUGCAGGAGAGGAAAGG